GACGAACGCUGGCGGCGUGCUUAACACAUGCAAGUCGAACGGAAAGGCCCCUUUGGGGGUACUCGAGUGGCGAACGGGUGAGUAACACGUGAGUAACCUGCCCUUGACUUCGGGAUAACUUCAGGAAACUGGGGCUAAUACCGGAUAGGAAUCCUUGCUGCAUGGUGGGGGUUGGAAAGCUUCGGCGGUUUUGGAUGGACUCGCGGCUUAUCAGCUUGUUGGUGGGGUAGUGGCUUACCAAGGCUUUGACGGGUAGCCGGCCUGAGAGGGCGACCGGCCACAUUGGGACUGAGAUACGGCCCAGACUCCUACGGGAGGCAGCAGUGGGGAAUAUUGCACAAUGGGCGGAAGCCUGAUGCAGCAACGCCGCGUGCGGGAUGACGGCCUUCGGGUUGUAAACCGCUUUCAGCAGGGGCGAAGCUUGUGGUGACGGUACCUGCAGAAGAAGCACUGGCUAACUACGUG
rnacentral:rRNA from 1 species